CCCUUCAUAACCCAGGAAACCCAAACCCUUGUCGUGAGUGAGUGAAUCACGGGCUUAAACAUAAGCAUUAUAUGUUUAAAAAAAUACAUUUUUUGUAAAGAUUAUCCCCAAGUCCUUGCUAAUAGGAACCCUUAUGCCUAUAUAAUUCUCUUAUGCUUUUCAUGUUUUUUUUUAAUGACUCUAACAUCUUUAAUUUCUCUAAUUCCAAGUUUAUGAUGCUUAUAGAAUAAAGCCAAAUUUGUUAUUAUUGCUCUCGUAAGUUCAUUUCUUCAUGACCCACCAUGCAUUUUUACCCCUGUUUUUGAUUGGAAGUAUUGAAUUAAUAUAUAAUUGAACUGGUUUAGUAAAAAUCUACUCUUAACCUUGUUACUAAAUAAAGAAUUGAUUUGUCUUAUUACCUGCAGUUAAGCAGUGAAUUGUUCACAAGUUAAAAGCAAGCCGCAAAUGAUUUUCUUGUCCAUUCAUUAUUCAUUUAUAAGAUAUGCUUGCUGCUGGUGAAGGAAGGCCAUAUGCUAGUUGCUGCAAAAUGGAGUUUGUAGGUGAAUGUUUAUGGACUAAAAUAUAUAAGUGCUUGAUAGUGUUUUGAUUUUCAAAUUUUAUAGGUACAUGAAUUGAAUUGCUAUUUUGAUUUGUGUAAUGCAAAAUCUGUUAUCUUUGUUCCUCUACAUGUUAAGAGUAGGUAGAUUGGUAGUUGUUUCAUGCAUGGGUUAUUUAAGUCUCUUGAAGAUGUUCUGUGUAAUGUGAAGCAAAUGAGUACUUGGUUAUGACUUUCAUAUGUUAGACACUAACAAUAUGACUUACAAAUGAGUGACAAUUCAUAAUUGACUUAGCAGUGAGAUAACUUGUAAUGUGUACAUGUUAUAUAGGACAUGAGUGAUAAUUAGACCAAUCUUCUAUCUUUAUCUUUAUUCCUCUUCUUUUUGUUUUGUUCUUGAAUGUAGGUAAUCACAUGCAUGUUGCCAUACUAUUCACUGUCUUCAGAUUUUUUAUGCCCUCCAAUUGUUUGAUAAAAAGCCUGAAUGAAUCUUGGCACUUCAUUUUUGGCAGCCCAUUUCUACAUAUGAGGAGCUAAGGAAUAUGGAGUUAAAGAGCUUGAGGAAAGGCUUAUGGUUUCUACUUGAAUCUAUAUCUAUAUUGUUUUAUAUGAAUUUGGCUGAUUGAAAUUACAUUCCAGUAGAAUAAUAAAUGGAUAAUGAAAUUUACUUUUGUGAUUUUCAAAAUGGAUGGAGUAAAAUAAUAAAUAACUAUCCUUUCCGUAAAUAAUUUUAAUUUACAAAGGCAAUACUAAUUUAUAUAUAUAUAUAUAUAUAUAUAUUUCAUAUGAGGAGUUGUAUAGUAGGCAUAUGGAUUGAGGCUUUGCAUCUACAUCCAUAUUUGCAUUAAAGUGGUUAGUGUUGGUGUUCACAAGUUGUUUUGGCUUCAAAGAUUAUUAUAUAAGUUGAGUAAACAAUAGUAAUUCAUAUAAUAAUGUAGAUCAACACUCGUUGAAAUAUCUUUUUUUUUUAAUUAGCAUGGUCUUCAAGAUAUUCAAUGUCUUCCUGUAUAAUUUUGGAUAAAAGAGUAAUAUUGUUGGAGCUCAUUUAAAGCGCAUAAAGUGUUUUGAAUUGUUAUCACAUGGAUAUAUUAAAUGAAUGAUAAUUAAGUAGUUUACAAUUUGAUUUUUGGUAAAUAACUUGUUGUUUUAAAAUUAAAGUUCAAGAGAAUUGAUGAAUACGCCAUGAAAGAGGUCUCACGACUUCGUGAUCAAUGGGCUACGUAUGUUGUCAAGUUAAUUACAACUUGUAAUCAUGAGGUAACAUAUGACUAAUUUAUGAUUAUUUUUGCUUUUAAAUUUCAAGACUUAUUUUUUUGUGGUGUACUAAUUGAUUUAAUGUACUUGUAGGUGGGAAAAAAAUGAAGCCACGUAUGGCUAUUCAAUGACAUUAUCGAGCAUAUUCUUGUUGGUUAAUGUUUUUGAAACUUGAUUUUGUACUUUGUUAUUUAAAACAUGUCCAAAACUUAAUUUGGUACUUUUUUUUUCUUUACCAAACAGUGGUGUAGUUGAAUUAUGUUAAUUUAAGUUAUGUAUUUGUGAUGUUUAUUAUGUGAAUACUGUUGCAAGA
rnacentral:lncRNA from 1 species